CUUUUAUCAGGCCCAAAGAUGAGCCAUAUGAUGAUGAUUCUGUAGGGUUUGAGACUCCUGUUGCAAUGAUAUAUCCCUCCCACCCAAUUUCUAACCCAAUUCCCACUGAAAGCAAAGUACGAAGAAUGUAUAAAAGAUUGUGAUGAAGCUGUUGAGAGGGGCAGACAACUUCAUUCAGACUUCAAAAUGAUAGAAGGGCAUUGACUAGGAAAGGAAUCGCACUAGCGAAGGUUGCUAAAUGCUCAAAGUACUAUUAACCCAAGUCUAUUUAUGUCUGUUUCUCAUAUGUAACCCAAGUCAAAGUACUAAAGCCAUAUUCUAUAUAUAUUCAGAUGUAACCUGAGUCCAUUUAUC